rnacentral:rRNA from 1 species
CCGGUUGAUCCUGCCGGACCCUACUGCUAUCGGGGUGGGACUAAGACAUGCGAGUCGAGCGUCUGCCAAGGAUUUGGAGACGCGACAGAUGGCUCAGUAAUGCGUGGCUAACCUAGCCUCAGGCCGGAGACAGCCCCGGGGAACUGGGGCAUAUAUCCGAUAGGCGAGAAGGCCUGGAAUGGCUUCUCGCCUAAAGACGUUGAAAACUUUUCAACGUCUCCUGAGGAUGGGGCCGCGCCCGAUCAGGUUGUUGGUGAGGUAAUGGCUCACCAAGCCUAUAACCGGUACGGGCCGUGAGAGCGGUAGCCCGGAGAUGGGUACUGAGACAAGGACCCAGGCCCUACGGGGCGCAGCAGUCGCGAAAACUCCGCAAUGCACGAAAGUGUGACGGGGCUACCCCGAGUGCUAUCCGCUGAGGAUAGCUUUUCCCUGGUAUAACUAGCCAGGGGAAUAAGGAGAGGGCAAGACUGGUGUCAGCCGCCGCGGUAAUACCAGCUCUCCGAGUGGUAGGGAUGAUUAUUGGGCUUAAAGCGUCCGUAGCCGGCUUAGCAAGUCUCCUGUUAAACUCAGCGACUUAAUCGUUGAAUCGCGGGAGAUACUACUAGGCUAGGAGGCGGGAGAGGUCGACGGUACUUCUGGGGUAGGGGUGAAAUCCUAUAAUCCCGGGAGGACCACCAGUGGCGAAGGCUGUCGACUAGAACGCGCUCGACGGUGAGGGACGAAAGCUGGGGGAGCGAACCGGAUUAGAUACCCGGGUAGUCCCAGCUGUAAACGAUGCGGGCUAGGUGUUGGAAUGGCUACGUGCCAUUUCAGUGCCGCAGGGAAGCCAUUAAGCCCGCCGCCUGGGGAGUACGGCCGCAAGGCUGAAACUUAAAGGAAUUGGCGGGGGAGCAC